rnacentral:rRNA from 1 species
AACAAACGCUGGCGGCGUGCCUAACACAUGCAAGUCGUACGAGAAAGUCGGCUUCGGCCGAUGAGUACAGUGGCGCACGGGUGAGUAACGCGUGGGUAAUCUACCCCUCGGUCAGGAAUAACCCGCCGAAAGGCGGGCUAAUACCCGAUAACACUGACGCUCUGCGGAGUGUCUUUCAAAGAAGGCCUCUGUUUACAAGCUUUCGCCGGAGGAUGAGCCCGCGUACCAUUAGCUAGUUGGCAGGGUAAUGGCCUACCAAGGCAACGAUGGUUAGCUGGUCUGAGAGGAUGGCCAGCCACACUGGAACUGAGACACGGUCCAGACUCCUACGGGAGGCAGCAGUGAGGAAUCUUGCGCAAUGGGGGAAACCCUGACGCAGCAACGCCGCGUGAGUGAGGAA